rnacentral:rRNA from 1 species
UACGUAUGGGGCGAGCGUUGUUCGGAUUUAUUGGGCGUAAAGGGCGUGUAGGCGGCGCGCCAAGUCUGGUGUGAAGAUGCAGCGGCCUAACCCUGCAGAGGCGCCGGAUACUGGCGGGCUUGAGUGCCUGAGGGGAAGCUGGAAUUCCAGGUGUAGGGGCGAAAUCUGUAGAUAUCUGGAAGAACACCGGUGGCGAAGGCGAGCUUCUAUCAGAGCACUGACGCUGAGGCGCGAAAGCGUGGGGA